rnacentral:rRNA from 1 species
GUAGCUGGUCUGACAGGACGAUCAGCCACAUUGGGACUGAGACACGGCCCAAACUCCUACGGGAGGCAGCAGUGGGGAAUCUUGCGCAAUGGACGAAAGUCUGACGCAGCCAUGCCGCGUGAAUGAGGAAGGUCUUAGGAUUGUAAAGUUCUUUAGCCUGUGACGAAGAUGACGGUAACAGGAGAAUAAGCCCCGGCUAACUUCGUGCCAGCAGCCGCGGUAAUACGAAGGGGGCUAGCGUUGUUCGGAAUUACUGGGCGUAAAGCGCGCGUAGGCGGUUAUGCAAGCCAGAGGUGAAAUGCCUGAGCUCAACUUAGGAAUUGCCUUUGGAACUGCAUGGCUUUGAGGACGAGAGAGGUGAGUGGAAUUCCCAGUGUAGAGGUGAAAUUCGUAGAUAUUGGGAAGAACACCGGUGGCGAAAGGCGGCUCACUGGCUCGUUUCUGACGCUGUAGCGCGAAAGCGUGGGGAUCAAACAGGAUUAGAUACCCUGGUAGUCCACGCUGUAAACGAUGAGUGCUAGGCGGUGGCACGCUUGCGUGUACGUGCCGCAGCU